rnacentral:rRNA from 1 species
GAUGAACGCUGGCGGCGUGCCUAAUACAUGCAAGUCGAGCGAAUGGAUUAAGAGCUUGCUCUUAUGAAGUUAGCGGCGGACGGGUGAGUAACACGUGGGUAACCUGCCCAUAAGACUGGGAUAACUCCCGGAAACCGGGGCUAAUACCGGAUAAUAUUUUGAACUGCAUGGUUCAAAAUUGAAAGGCGGCUUCGGCUGUCACUUAUGGAUGGACUCGCGUCCCAUUAGCUAGUUGGUGAGGUAACGGCUCACCAAAGCAACGAUGCGUAGCCGACCUGAGAGGGUGAUGGGCCACACUGGGACUGAGACACGGCGCAGACUCCUACGGGAGGCAGAAGUAGGGAAUCUUCCGCAAUGGACGAAAGUCUGACGGAGCAACGCCGAGUGAGUGAUGAAGGCUUUCGGGUCGUAAAACUCUGUUGUUAGGGAAGAACAAGUGCUAGUUGAAUAAGCUGGCACCUUGACGGUACCUAACCAGAAAGCCACGGCUAACUACGUGCCAGCAGCCGCCGUAA